rnacentral:rRNA from 1 species
CCUACGGGAGGCAGCAGUGAGGAAUAUUGGUCAAUGGACGAGAGUCUGAACCAGCCAAGUAGCGUGCAGGAUGACUGCCCUAUGGGUUGUAAACUUCUUUUAUAAAGGAAUAAAACGAGGCACGCGUGCCUUUUUGCAUGUACUUUAUGAAUAAGGAUCGGCUAACUCCGUGCCAGCAGCCGCGGUAAUACGGAGGAUCCGAGCGUUAUCCGGAUUUAUUGGGUUUAAAGGGUGCGUAGGCGGGUUGUUAAGUUAGUGGUGAAAGUCCGCGGCUCAACCGUGGAAUUGCAAGUGAUACUGGGCGGCUUGAGUGCAGUUGAGGUAGGCGGAAUGCGUGGUGUAGCGGUGAAAUGCUUAGAUAUCACGAAGAACCCCGAUUGCGAAGGCAGCUUACUAAGCUGUGACUGACAUUGAUGCUCGAAAGUGUGGGUAUCAAACAGGAUUAGAUACCCGAGUAGUC